UACGGGGAGAGCAAGCGUUGUUCGGAUUUACUGGGCGUAAAGGGCGCGUAGGCGGCGCAACAAGUCACUUGUGAAAUCUCCGGGCUUAACCCGGAGCGGCCAAGUGAUACUGUCGUGCUAGAGUGCGGAAGGGGCUACUGGAAUUCUCGGUGUAGCGGUGAAAUGCGUAGAUAUCGAGAGGAACACCUGCGGCGAAGGCGGGUAGCUGGGCCGACACUGACGCUGAGGCGCGAAAGCCAGGGGAGCGAACGGG
rnacentral:rRNA from 1 species